rnacentral:rRNA from 1 species
UCUGGUGAUGAUGGCGAAGAGGUCACACCCGUUCCCAUGCCGAACACGGAAGUUAAGCUCUUCAGCGCCGAUGGUAGUCGGGGGUUUCCCCCUGUAAGAGUAGGACAUCGCCAGGC